CAGUAGCCGCGGUAAUACAGAGGGUGCGAGCGUUAAUCGGAUUUACUGGGCGUAAAGCGUGCGUAGGCGGCUUUUUAAGUCGGAUGUGAAAUCCCUGAGCUUAACUUAGGAAUUGCAUUCGAUACUGGGAAGCUAGAGUAUGGGAGAGAAUGGUAGAAUUCCAGGUGUAGCGGUGAAAUGCGUAGAGAUCUGGAGGAAUACCGAUGGCGAAGGCAGCCAUCUGGCCUAAUACUGACGCUGAGGUACGAAAGCAUGGGGAGCAAACAGGAUUAGAUACCCCCGUAGUCCCUGUCUCUUAUAA
rnacentral:rRNA from 1 species